rnacentral:rRNA from 1 species
GAAAGGGCUUCGGCCCCAGUAAAGCGGCGCACGGGUGAGUAACACGUAGGUAAUCUACCCUUGAGUGGUGGAUAACCCUCCGAAAGGAGGGCUAAUACAGCAUAAGACCACGGUCUUCCGAGGCUGUGGCCAAAGCGGGCCUCUCCAUGGAAGCUCGCGCUUAAGGAUGAGCCUGCGGCCCAUCAGCUAGUUGGCAGGGUAAUGGCCUACCAAGGCGAAGACGGGUAGCUGGUCUGAGAGGAUGAACAGCCACACUGGAACUGAGACACGGUCCAGACUCCUACGGGAGGCAGCAGUAGGGAAUCUUGCGCAAUGGGCGAAAGCCUGACGCAGCGACGCCGCGUGAGCGAUGAAGGCCUUCGGGUUGUAAAGCUCUGUGGGGAGGGAAGAAUAAUCUCCGGUUAAUACCCUGAGAGAUGACGGUACCUCCUUAGCAAGCACCGGCUAACUCUGUGCCAGCAGCCGCGGUAAGACAGAGGGUGCAAACGUUGUUCGGAAUCACUGGGCGUAAAGCGCGUGUAGGCGGCCUCGCAAGUCGGGCGUGAAAUCCCACGGCUCAACCGUGGAAGUGCACUCGAAACUGCGAGGCUGGAGUCCCGGAGAGGAAGGUGGAAUACUUGGUGUAGAGGUGAAAUUCGUAGAUAUCAAGUGGAACACCGGUGGCGAAGGCGGCCUUCUGGACGGUGACUGACGCUGAGACGCGAAAGCGUGGGGAGCAAACAGGAUUAGAUACCCUGGUAGUCCACGCCGUAAACGAUGAGUGCUAGGUGUCA